CCUACGGGAGGCAGCAGUGAGGAAUAUUGGUCAAUGGGCGCGAGCCUGAACCAGCCAAGUCGCGUGAAGGAUGACUGCCCUACGGGUUGUAAACUUCUUUUAUAAAGGAAUAAAGUGAGGCACGUGUGCCUUUUUGUAUGUACCUUAUGAAUAAGGAUCGGCUAACUACGUGCCAGCAGCCGCGGUAAUACGGAGGAUCCGAGCGUUAUCCGGAUUUAUUGGGUUUAAAGGGAGCGGAGAUGGGUUGUUAAGUCAGUUGUGAAAGUUUGCGGGUCAACCGUAAAAUUGCAAUUGAUACUGGCGGUCUUGAGUACAGGUGAGGUAGGCGGAAUUCGUGGUGUAGCGGUGAAAUGCUUAGAUAUCACGAAGAACUCCGAUUGCGAAGGCAGCUUACUAAACUGCCACUGACAUUGAUGCUCGAAAGUGUGGGUAUCAAACAGGAUUAGAUACCCUUGUAGUC
rnacentral:rRNA from 1 species